rnacentral:lncRNA from 1 species
GACAGAGAGAAAGGAGCAGCGGAUUCCUGCAAACUUCAGCAUUGUGUGACUAGGAAGAUGCUGACCUGGCUUGCAAUUUCUUGGAGGAAACAGGUAUUUGGAUUCCCUAUAUCAACAGAGAAGGGAAAAGGGGUUGGAAAGAUGGCACAGAGAUUACAAGAGCUGGCUGCUUUUCCAGAGGACCCACCCAGUGGCUCACAACCGUUCACUUCCAGAGGGACGGGCAUCCUCUUCUGACCUCUGAGGACAUUGUACAUGCAUGGUGCAUAGAUUUACAUGCAAGCAAACGCCUGUACACGUAAAAUAAGUAAUAAAAGUCUUUAACACAUCUCUUUAAA